GUAGGUGAACCUGCGGAAGGAUCAUUAACACGUAUCCACGUAUCAACCCCUCUGUGCAACUGACUACGUCAGGCUGGUCUUAGUAUACGCGACUCGCAUAGAUCUUAAUGAUGGGAGUCCCCUCCUUUCUUUCGGGAGAGGGGGCCGACUCGGGAUCUGAGUACGUAUGCGUUUGACGAUUGGCCGCUAUUUUCCCAUCGUUAGGCUUAACACAAAAUUUUUAACCCCUUUGUACUCUUUUGUACUGAAC
rnacentral:misc_RNA from 1 species